rnacentral:tRNA from 1 species
AGGUGUAGCGCUGGGUAGCGCAGCGCAUCUGUUUCGGGUACAGAGGCGACGAGCUAACCCGGCCACCCA